AACCGAGGCCCAUAAUUUUCUCCCUUCUAAAAUCGAGGACGAGAUUAAGGAGAAUAAAUCUCGUCCCCUUCCAAAUUUGAGGACAAGAUUUACUCUCCUUCCAAAUCUCGUCGCCUUCCAAAUUCAGAACGAGAUUUACCCCUUCAAAAUCUCGUCUCCUUCCAAAUUCUUCCAAAUUCACGGACGAGAUUUACUCUCCUUCCAAAUUCGUGGACGAAAUUUACUCCCAGGGGACGAGAUUUACUUAUUCCGCGAUCCCUCCCUGCUCCCUCCCUCCCUCCCUCCCAUGUACUCCUAGUCGUGUAGUCUAGACAGGGACCGUUUCCCUUCACCACUUCUUUCGUUGUUCGUCAAACCCGUCGCCCCCAUAUCCGAAUUUUUUUUUUUUUGCGAGUUCCGCUGGAAGAAAAAACACCCGGCGAACACCCCGCCUCCUGAACGGCUGAACCCCACCAGCCACCGCACGCAUCCUCUCCCGGCGGUCGCCGUCUUCUCUCCCCUUCCGCCUGUCACCCCCUACGUCGUACCCCUUCUUCCCCUGCGCUCGUCGCCUCUCCUGCCUUCCCCUCCGCCCGCCGCGCCGCCUACUCUCACCCCGCUGUCGCCUCCUCGAGCCUCGGCCAGCCAUGGGCACUGCCUGCUCGGCCGCUUCCUCGCGCCCUCCGCUCACCGCAGUCGUGGCGGCCCACGCUGGCGGCGGAGGACACCACGGAGCUGCGCGGCGGCGCGCUCUGGGUAAGUUGGCGAUGCCGGCAUGGUGGUGAUCUCCGGUCCAAGCCCCGGGCGGCGGAGGGAAUAGACAAAACAGUUGAAGGUAGCAGGAGGAUCAUUUAGACAAAAGUAUCCAAAAUUAGUGGUUCAACUUGUCGAUGAAAGUGCGUUGGCAACUGCAAUGGUGCUUAAAAGUAUCACUCUAGAUGAAAAGCAAGUUUUCAUCCAUGCAUCCACUUCCAAGAUAUCCCAUGCUAUUGCCAUAAUAUUAUGUGGGAGGAUUGUCCAGGUGAUCAUGAAUCGAAAGAAAUAAUAUGAUAUACACAAGCCACAGAUUCCAGAGAACAGAGCCAGCUAUUUGAAAUUAUCCGGCGAUGACAUGCCCAAGUUUGUUCAGAAAGUGGUGCAUUGGACCCCUUCAACAAUAUGUACACAGCUCCUAGGAAGGGAUACGAAGAGCAGAGGCGUUCCGUAGCCGAUUGGAGUUGGGCGAGACGUAAGGCACAGACGACGAUUCGAUCAUCUCAACCAAGAGCGCAACGAAGCGAUUUAUUCCCUGCAAGUCCAGGCCCACUCAACGAUUCCUUGGCCCAAAAGGCAAGCCAGGACAGCCCAACUCCAACAAAUCAUGUCGAUUUUCCCAUUUUCCUCCUCAAUUCAUGCAAACAGUCAGAUUUAACAGUAAUUAACACCUAUACCUAAAAUUUUGCGCCGAAAUAAGGUAAGGCGGGCGCCCUACCGAGAGCUCCGCCCGUGCUACUAAUUGUCGGCUCUAAAGUCACGCACUCCUGCCCAAGUUUCUUCCCGCACUUCUUUCGUACGGGUAGCACAAUUUUAGGGAAGAUUGCUUGGAAAUAGGUGAUUGCAGUCGUUUUGGUUUGGCAACAAAAAAAAGAAAUAGAAAGGAGAGUGAUUUGGGCUCGAACCAGAGGAGCAGCAUAAAGAGGAAAAAGACGGUAUGGCAUCACCUUGGUUUGUGGGUAAGAUUAGAAAGAAAUGAGCCGGGAAGAGGUGAGUUUGUGGGUAAGAUUAGAAAGAAAUGAGCUUAUCCUGGCAUGCUCUGUCUAGGUCCUUCUUCUGGCAUUGCUGGGCCUCCCUCUCCUCGGGUGAUUGCUUAUCCCGGGAUGCUCUGUCUAGCUCCCUUCUGGGGGCAUUAAUGGCCUCCUUCUCCUCGGGUGAUUGCCUAUCUCGGUAAAGUCGGGGUUCGAAAUUUAGGAAUUCAAAGGUAAGGUCUGAUUCAGAGACUUCCUGUACGAGAUCAGGGUCAAAAAUAGACUUUCUCUUGAUUGAUUGUGCUAAUCGCGGUGGCGGGGGGUAACGGGGAUAGCGGUUGCUGUUUGCUGUUCGACUAGGGGUUGAGACGCGCCUCCUGAGACGGUCUUGAUUUUAAUUAAUCGUAGUGAGAUUUGAAUCGCCGCUGUUGUUGCCUCUAAACCUGGUCCAGUUUAUCUUGCUAGGAGAAGAAGAAAUUAGCUGCAGGUUGCUCUUUGGAAAAACAAAAUAAGAGCAAAAGGGGAAAAACACAAAGCGCUGUUAAAAAUUGAUGUGAUGAGCCAACAAAUAGACUCUUCUUUGUUGUAUCAGUUGCCUGUUAUUCACUAUGGAAGGAUGUCGAACAUGAUACUGCAGUACAUACUAUAUAUAUAUAAACACAGCUUGUGAGUAAAUGGUUCACAAUGAUA